rnacentral:rRNA from 1 species
AACGAACGCUGGCGGCGUGCCUAACACAUGCAAGUCGAGCGAGAAAGUCCGCAAGGAUGAGUACAGCGGCGCACGGGUGCGUAACACGUGGGUAAUCUGCCCUGGAGCCCGGAAUAACCUCCCGAAAGGGAAGCUAAUGCCGGAUAAGACCACGGGAGCUUCGGCUCCUGCGGGAAAAGGUGGCCUCUGUACACAAGCUAUCACUUCCAGAUGAGCCCGAGGCCCAUCAGCUAGUUGGCGGGGUAACGGCCCACCAAGGCAACGACGGGUAGCUGGUCUGAGAGGACGAUCAGCCACACUGGAACUGAGACACGGUCCAGACUCCUACGGGAGGCAGCAGUGGGGAAUUUUGCACAAUGGGCGAAAGCCUGAUGCAGCAACGCCGCGUGUGUGAUGAAGGUCUUCGGAUUGUAAAGCACUUUCGACCGGGACGAAACCGGGUUGGCUAACAUCCAACCUCUUGACGGUACCGGGAGAAGAAGCACCGGCUAACUCUGUGCCAGCCGCCGCCGUAAAAC